rnacentral:rRNA from 1 species
AUGGAACAGCCGAGGAAACAGUUCAACUGGACUAAACGCAACGGGCUCCUCUAUAUGAGUGGAAAUGUCUCUGUUAAAACUCGCAUGGCCUUGAUGGUGGACUUCAAUGAUUUGAAGAGCGAGGUCAAGGUGAUGCUUGCAUCUACCAAGGUGCAUGGAGAAGCGUCGCGUGUGGUGCUCCUCGAUGUUGUGUGGAACCCUUCUAUCCAAAGGCAGGCGAUUGGAUGUGCAUAUCGAAUUGGUCAGCAAAAGAUUGUCCAUACAUACAAUCUAAUCACAGAAGGAACACAAGAGAAGGGUAAAUAUGAUAUACAAGCUAAGAAGGAGCAAAUGUCAAAAAAUUUCUUUUCAAGUGAACCACAGCCUGCGGAGUGCAACCCUUCAUCAGAAUUUAUUUCUAUUGAUAGGAUUUUGGAACAAAUGACAGAAGAUGAAAAUCUGAAAGAGAUUUUUUUGAAAAUAGUCCCAUCAUAG